rnacentral:rRNA from 1 species
AACGAACGCUGGCGGCAGGCCUAACACAUGCAAGUCGAGCGAGAUCUUCGGGUCUAGCGGCGGACGGGUGAGUAACGCGUGGGAAUAUGCCUCUUGGUACGGAAUAGCCUCGGGAAACUGGGAGUAAUACCAUAUGUGCCCUUUGGGGGAAAGAUUUAUCGGCAAGAGAUUAGCCCGCGUUGGAUUAGGUAGUUGGUGGGGUAAUGGCCUACCAAGCCGACGAUCCAUAGCUGGUUUGAGAGGAUGAUCAGCCACACUGGGACUGAGACACGGCCCAGACUCCUACGGGAGGCAGCAGUGGGGAAUCUUAGACAAUGGGGGCAACCCUGAUCUAGCCAUGCCGCGUGAGUGAUGAAGGCCUUAGGGUUGUAAAGCUCUUUCAGCUGGGAAGAUAAUGACGGUACCAGCAGAAGAAGCCCCGGCUAACUCCGUG